rnacentral:rRNA from 1 species
UGGGGGAUAUUGCACAAUGGGGGGAAACCCGUGAUGCAGCAACGCCGCGUGAAGGAAGAAGGUCUUCGGAUUGUAAACUUUUGUCCUUGGUGAAGAUAAUGACGGUAGCCAAGGAGGAAGCUCCGGCUAACUACGUGCC